CUAUUAUUUUAAAUGUAAAGUGUUAUGCUUGAGUAGUAUAAGUUAUGGUCUUGAAACUCAAAGAAUUUGGCGGUGUUUUAGUCCUUUCAGAGGAACCUGUCCUGUAAUCGAUAUUCCACGUUAAAUCUUACUUGACCUAGUGAUUCAGUUUGUAUAUCGCCGUCGUCAGAAUGUCCUAUUAGGGAUUGAAUUUUCUUUAAUUUGAAUUGUAAAUGGAUGUCAGGUCAAGGUGCAGUUGAUGGUUUAGGUAGAGAUGGGUUACAAUAAAUUUAUUUAUUAUGAAUAAUCAAUUGAAAGGUAUUGAAUUGAAGGUGGAUUUGAAAGUAAUUUUUUAUAGAAUAAUAUAUUGAUUUUGGCUCUAAAACAUGCACACAUCGCCCGUCGCUCUUA
rnacentral:rRNA from 1 species